GACAGAGGGUGCGAACGUUGUUCGGAAUUACUGGGCGUAAAGCGCGUGUAGGCGGCAACGCAAGUCGGGCGUGAAAUCCCACGGCUCAACCGUGGAAGUGCACUCGAAACUGCGUAGCUAGAGUCCUGGAGAGGAAGGUGGAAUGCUUGGUGUAGAGGUGAAAUUCGUAGAUAUCAAGCGGAACACCGGUGGCGAAGGCGGCCUUCUGGACAGUGACUGACGCUGAGACGCGAAAGCGUGGGAAGCAAACAGG
rnacentral:rRNA from 1 species